UUGAACGCUGGCGGCAGGCCUCACACAUGCACGUCGAACGGUAACAGGAAGCAGCUUGCUGCUUUGCUGACGAGUGGCGGACGGGUGAGUAAUGUCUGGGAAACUGCCUGAUGGAGGGGGAUAACUACUGGAAACGGUAGCUAAUACCGCAUAACGUCGCAAGACCAAAGAGGGGGACCUUCGGGCCUCUUGCCAUCGGAUGUGCCCAGAUGGGAUUAGCUAGUAGGUGGGGUAACGGCUCACCUAGGCGACGAUCCCUAGCUGGUCUGAGAGGAUGACCAGCCACACUGGAACUGAGACACGGUCCAGACUCCUACGGGAGGCAGCAGUGGGGAAUAUUGCACAAUGGGCGCAAGCCUGAUGCAGCCAUGCCGCGUGUAUGAAGAAGGCCUUCUGGUUGUAAAGUACUUUCAGCGGGGAGGAAGGGAGUAAAGUUAAUACCUUUGCUCAUUGACGUUACCCGCAGAAGAAGCACCGGCUAACUCCGUG
rnacentral:rRNA from 1 species